UGAGAAACUCUGUCUUCUGCAGGAAAAGGUCAAAGGGCUGAUUGUGGUCAGCCACAAUGCUGUCUGCUCUCAAUCAUGUCCCUCUGCCUGACGGGAAGCAAGGUGGCAAACCAAAGUGCUGUGGGCCUGAUAAGGUGGUGCUUGCCCACCGGGGAGGAGCCUGGGGCUCCUGUGUGGCGAGGGGGCUCUGGGGAAGGCGCGAGGUGAUGAGGAGAGGCUUUGCUGGGUUCUGUGGGGGACCCUGGGGGCUGCUGAAAUGAGAGUGGAAUGAAGAUCUGAAGGAGGUAGGUUUUGUUCUUUAUUUAAAAUUCAUUUUCCCCUGUAUUUGUUCAUUUUCUGUCUUUAGAGAGUUCCAUUGUUAUGAUUUUCUGUCCUAACAGAAGAGCUUGGAAACUUUUUGAUGUCUUUGUAGAAAGUUUUGGCUGUAUGCUCCAGCUGGCUGUGAAUCCCUUCACAGUGUAUCGAUAUUAAUUAACCCAGUGUAUAACCCAGGCUGUGAAUCCCUUCACAGUGUAUCUUUAUUAAUCGCCCCUCUUUGGGGUGAGGAGGACCAGGGCAGGCCUGCUAACGGGCCUGGUGGGUGACCAGGCUGCCAUCAGAUGUGGUCCCAGGUCAGCACGGCAAUUGUUUGCUGGGCUGUAACUGAGGAGGGAUGCAGUGGCGUUGGGAUGAAUGAGGUCUGUGCAAUCAGCAUAUGUGGUGGAACAGGAGAAAAGUGAGAAAUUUGAAAAGGCAGGACUGCCUUUUUGGUGUGUUGCUGAAAAAUCCGUUACAAUGAUACAUAACAGAACAGAAACAUGCAGGUAAUUGAGCAUGACCUGUUCGCUUUGAGAAAACAGGUAUUUUUAAGGUUGAUUACAUGUUUGUUUUAGAAUGAUAUAUUCAGUACUAUUGAGGGAAAUAGUUGGUGAUGACCAUUUCAGGUCUCAUAGAGAAAGAUUUCUGGAACAGUAAAUUGUUGCUGAAGGAACAAUAUAGCUAUUAUUUCUUGGUUUAACUUCAAGAAACUGUGGUGUUGUGCUUGGUCCUUAGCACUAGAAUCUCCUUUUCACACCCCACACUGCUUUGGUAUAUAGUUACUCUA
rnacentral:lncRNA from 1 species